rnacentral:lncRNA from 1 species
CUGUGUGGAGAAAAGCUGGUACUCCUCAGGCAGGAUCCAGGAGCGGGGGGUAGAAGUUGUACUCCUCAGGCAGGAUCCAGGAGCGGUGGUAGAAGUUGUACUCCCCAGGCAGGAUCCAGGAGCGGGGGGUAGAAGUUGUACUCCCCAGGCAGGAUCCAGGAGCGGGGAUAGAAGUUGUACUCCUCAGGCAGGAUCCAGGAGCGGGGGGUAGAAGUUGUACUCCCCAGGCAGGAUCCAGGAGCGGGGGGUAGAAGUUGUACUCCCCAGGCAGGAUCCAGGAGCGGGGAUAGAAGUUGUACUCCCCAGCUAGGAUCCAGGAGUGGGGGUAGAAGUUGUACUCCUCAGGUAGUAUCCAGGAGCGGGGAUAGAAGUUGUACUCCUCAGGCAGGAUCCAGGAGCGGGGGGUAGAAGUUGUACUCCUCAGGCAGGAUCCAGGAGCGGUGGUAGAAGUUGUACUCCCCAGGUAGGGUCCAGGAGUGGGGGUAGAAGUUGUACUCCUCAGGUAGUAUCCAGGAGCGGGGAUAGAAGUUGUACUCCCCAGGCAGGAUCCAGGAGCGGUGGUAGAAGUUGUACUCCCCAGGCAGGAUCCAGGAGCGGGGGGUAGAAGUUGUACUCCUCAGGUAGUUUCCAGGAGCGGGGAUAGAAGUUGUACUCCCCAGGCAGGAUCCAGGAGUGGGGGUAGAAGUUGUACUCCUCAGGUAGUAUCCAGGAGCGGGGAUAGAAGUUGUACUCCUCAGGCAGGAUCCAGGAGUGGGGGUAGAAGUUGUACUCCUCAGGUAGUUUCCAGGAGCGGGGAUAGAAGUUGUACUCCCCAGGCAGGAUCCAGGAGUGGGGGUAGAAGUUGUACUCCUCAGGUAGUAUCCAGGAGCGGGGAUAGAAGUUGUACUCCCCAGGCAGGAUCCAGGAGCGGUGGUAGAAGUUGUACUCCUCAGGCAGGAUCCAGGAGUGGGGGUAGAAGUUUUACUCCUCAGGGAACAGCUCCUGCAUGGUCCUCACCGCUUGGCUCAGGUUGAUCUUUCUCAGCAUCUCU